GAUGAACGCUGGCGGCGUGCCUAACACAUGCAAGUCGAGCGAUCUCUUCGGGGAGAGCGGCGGACGGGUGAGUAACGCGUGGGUAACCUGCCCUGUACACACGGAUAACAUACCGAAAGGUAUACUAAUACGUGAUAACAUACGAAAGUCGCAUGGCUUUUGUAUCAAAGCUCCGGCGGUACAGGAUGGACCCGCGUCUGAUUAGCUAGUUGGUAAGGUAAUGGCUUACCAAGGCAACGAUCAGUAGCCGACCUGAGAGGGUGAUCGGCCACACUGGAACUGAUACACGGUCCAGACUCCUACGGGAGGCAGCAGUGGGGAAUAUUGCACAAUGGGCGAAAGCCUGAUGCAGCAACGCCGCGUGAGCGAUGAAGGCCUUCGGGUCGUAAAGCUCUGUCCUCAAGGAAGAUAAUGACGGUACUUGAGGAGGAAGCCCCGGCUAACUACGUGCCAGCAGCCGCGGUAA
rnacentral:rRNA from 1 species